rnacentral:rRNA from 1 species
CGCCAGGAGACUACAAGCACCUACUUAAAACCCAAAGGACCUGGCGGUACUUCAAACCCCCCUAGAGGAGCCUGCUCCAGAACCGAUAAUCCCCGUUCAACCUUACCACCUCUUGUACCCUCCGCCUAUAUACCGCCGUCGCCAGCCUCCCUCCUAAGAGCAUAACAGCAGGCAAAAUAGGCACCACCCUAAAACGUCAGGUCGAGGUGUAGCGCACGGGGCGGAGAGAGUGGGCUACACUUCCUAAUUUAGGAUACCACAAAUCAUGCCAUGAAACCCGGCACUCAGAGGAGGAUUUAGAAGUAGGAAGAGAAAGAAAGCUCUCUCGAA